CGACUUUCGAACGCAUAUUGCAGCCAUUGGAUAGCCGAUGGCUUCGUUUGUCUGAGCGUCGUUAUCAAAUUAUGACCAAACAAAAUGGGAUAGAUCUGUUUCGUCGUGAAAACGUCGUCAGGUCAUUUCCAAACAUUUGAUAUGCUGACUUUUGUGGUGAAGAAGGCUUUGUAGCACAUUCACUCACAAAAGGUAUUUAGCGUUUCCAGCUAAACACCUUGAAUGUGUGCCUUGUAUAACCAAUCAAAAUGGUUGACAAAUCAAUGUCCAAUAAAAGUCUAAUUUCGACCUCAGAUCAAGCGAGAUUACCCCCUGAAUUUAAGC
rnacentral:rRNA from 1 species